rnacentral:rRNA from 1 species
UACGUAGGGUGCAAGCGUUAAUCGGAAUUACUGGGCGUAAAGCGUGCGCAGGCGGUGAUGUAAGACAGUUGUGAAAUCCCCGGGCUCAAACUGGGAACUGCAUCUGUGACUGCAUCGCUGGAGUGCGGCAGAGGGGGAUGGAAUUCCGCGUGUAGCAGUGAAAUGCGUAGAUAUGCGGAGGAACACCGAUGGCGAAGGCAAUCCCCUGGGCCUGCACUGACGCUCAUGCACGAAAGCGUGGUGAGCAAACAGG